GCUGGGGUUCCCUUCCACGCUGUGGGAGGUUUGUUCUUUCGCUCUUUGCAAUAAUUCUUGCUGCUGCUCACUCCUUGGGUCCACACUGCCUUUAUGAGCUGUAACACUCACUGUGAAGGUCUGCAGCUUCAGUCCUGAAGCCAGCGAGACCACGAGCCCACCAGAAGGAACGAACGACUGCAGACGUGCCGCCUUAAGAGCUAUAACACUCACCUCGAAGAUCCGCAGCUUCACUCCUGAGCCAGCGAGACCAAGAACCCACCAGAAGGAAGAAACUGCCAACACAUCCGAACAUCAGAAGGAACGAGCUCCAGACACGCAGCCUUUAAGAACUGUAACACUCACUGCGAGGGUUCGCGGCUUCAUUCUUGAAGUCAGUGAGACCAAGAACCCACCAAUUCCGGACCCACUGGCAUUACAGGCGUGAAUCACUGUGUCUGGCCAAAAAGGAUCUAAUCUUAUAGCAGUGGAAUGAGGGGGAAGCCCAGCAAGGCCCAUCUGUUUGGAGUCUUCCUGGACUUCUGGGGCCUGACCCUUUUGGAACGGGGGUUUUAAGAUUCAUAAUCGACAAAGUUGUUCCUACUUUGGCCAUUGGAGCUCUUUCCAGUUAGCUUCUCUUCCUUGGACAGCUUCCAUACGUUUUUGAGCACUUCCUUAUUUCUGACACCAGAAGAUGACUCAGGCUUGACUUGUAUUCUCCCCGUCCAACAAUGGAAUCUGCCAUUUCUCCAAGGAGCCCUGAUUCCUUUUAUUUGAGCGUGGUACAUAGAAGCUGAGCAACUUUUUCUCUCUUUCUAAUAAAUGCUAAUUCAGGAAAAAUAAAAAACUUAUAAAACAAAACUUCUCCUCUCAAAAUAAAAAUAAUUUUACGCAGUCCCAUAAGAGAAUACACAUUUUAAAAAUAUGUACAGCCUAUGCAAUUGACUAGAAUAGUGUUGGUGAGAACAUUCACACUGGCUUUAAUUAAAAAUUAAUGGUUAAUAUUUUUGCACUUUUAUGAAGCAACAGAAAUCUGAUCUUUAGUACUGAGAUAAAGUUUUUGUGUUUGAUGCAGUUUGCCCACCCAAACUAUCUGCGGGCUACAGUUUGCCCAUUUCUAUUCUAGAUUGCUGUUGGGGUAGAUUAGAAUUGUUGAGCGAAUUGACUAAAUUGCUCCAGUCUUUUUGAAAGGCCCAGUUGUCCCUUUGAAAUAUUUAUGGGUUUUUGAAUAAAGGUAGAAAUUAACCCUCCCACUCUUAAAACUUGAAACUUAUAUGUGUCUCAUCUGAGUGGUUUCCUCAGGAAACAGACCCUCACGCAAGGGACUGAAACUCACCAGAUCACCAUAUCCAGACCAUGAGAUCUAAGGUCUCUUACCCAUCGUGAUUGCUCCCUUACCCCUCCCUCAUUCCUGUAUUCCUGCAUGUAGUGACAUCCCUUCUCUGCUAUGUAAGCCCCAAAUUUUAGUGGGUCAAGGAAAAGGAUUUGAGACUUAUCUCCUGUUCUUCUUGACUGCAGCUCACAAAUAAAGUCUUCUUUCCUGGCAAUACUUCUUGUAUCAGGCAUUGGCAUUCUGUAUGGUGAGCAAUGGGAUCUAGACCAAACCCCUGGCAUUUGGUAACAAUUUAAUUUCAUGUCACUGGGUCAUCAUUAUAUAACUUGAGUAAUAGGUGGCAUCAUCUACCUCCUUUUCCUCCUCUUUCUUCUUCCUCUUCCUCUUCCUCUUCUUCUUCUUCCUCUUCUUCUUCUUUCUUUCUUCUCCCUCUCCCUCUCCCUCUCCCCAGUCCCUCAGGAUGUAAAUCAAGCUCUUCACUUGGGAGAGUGGUCAGGAUGAUAGAGCCCAUGGAUUUUCU
rnacentral:lncRNA from 1 species